GAGACUGCCGGUGUUAAGCCGGAGGAAGGUGGGGAUGACGUCAAGUCCUCAUGGCCUUAUGCCCAGGGCUACACACGUGCUACAAUGGGCGGUACAAAGAGAAGCAACCUCGCGAGGGUGAGCAAAUCUCAAAAAGCCGUUCUCAGUUCGGAUUGAAGUCUGCAACUCGACUUCAUGAAGUCGGAAUCGCUAGUAAUCGCGGAUCAGCAUGCCGCGGUCGAAUACGUUCCCGGGCCUU
rnacentral:rRNA from 1 species